UACGUAGGGUGCGAGCGUUAAUCGGAAUUACUGGGCGUAAAGCGUGCGCAGGCGGUCGUGUAAGACAGGUGUGAAAUCCCCGGGCUUAACCUGGGAACUGCAUUUGUGACUGCACGGCUGGAGUGCGGCAGAGGGGAUGGAAUUCCGCGUGUAGCAGUGAAAUGCGUAGAUAUGCGGAGGAACACCGAUGGCGAAGGCAAUCCCCUGGGCCUGCACUGACGCUCAUGCACGAAAGCGUGGGGAGCAAACAGG
rnacentral:rRNA from 1 species